UACGAAGGGGGCUAGCGUUGUUCGGAAUUACUGGGCGUAAAGCGCACGUAGGCGGCUAUUUAAGUCAGGGGUGAAAUCCCGGGGCUCAACCCCGGAACUGCCUUUGAUACUGGGUAUCUGGAGUAUGGAAGAGGUGAGUGGAAUUCCGAGUGUAGAGGUGAAAUUCGUAGAUAUUCGGAGGAACACCAGUGGCGAAGGCGGCUCACUGGUCCAUUACUGACGCUGAGGUGCGAAAGCGUGGGGAGCAAACAGG
rnacentral:rRNA from 1 species